GUCUGGGGCAGGACACCAUUUUAACAGUCGAUUACACUCUACAAAACUAUUGGUUAUUAAAUGCUGGUACUUUAAUUUCACCUUGGAAUCUGUGAUCAGACGCAUAACUGUAUUGUCAUCGACUAAGAUAUCACAGCCAUGAGCAGGGCAUGAAAUGGUCUGUCCCAUGCCUUCCUCCAUUAUUUUGGUAGUUAAAUAUUCACUCCAGCACUGCAUACAGAACUUGUGUCCACACUCUAGGCCAGUAAAGUACGAGUUGGGGUAGUUCAGAUAGCAGAUCUGACAAGGCAUAUCCUGAGCUGAUGACCUUGUGUUCAUCUGGCGCGUUCGAGACUUUUUACUUGGAUUAAUUACAUGACACUCCGCAAAGAGCUUUUCCAAGUUGCCAUCGAAGUACCUGGAUGCCACGACGCCUGCUUGUCCUGCACAUGUGGUCAUCUCCUUCUCUACCCCACCAGAUUCAUGCAGGCCAUGUGGCAACAACCAUUGCCAAAUGGAAACUGGAAGAUUUGCU
rnacentral:lncRNA from 1 species